AUGAACGCUGGCGGCGUGCUUAACACAUGCAAGUCGAACGAAGCACUUAUCUUUGAUUCUUCGGAUGAAAAGGUUUGUGACUGAGUGGCGGACGGGUGAGUAACGCGUGGGUAACCUGCCUUAUACAGGGGGAUAACAGUUAGAAAUGACUGCUAAUACCGCAUAAGACCACGGAGCCGCAUGGCUCAGUGGGAAAAACUCCGGUGGUAUGAGAUGGACCCGCGUCUGAUUAGGUAGUUGGUGGGGUAACGGCCUACCAAGCCAACGAUCAGUAGCCGACCUGAGAGGGUGACCGGCCACAUUGGGACUGAGACACGGCCCAAACUCCUACGGGAGGCAGCAGUGGGGAAUAUUGCACAAUGGGGGAAACCCUGAUGCAGCGACGCCGCGUGAGCGAAGAAGUAUUUCGGUAUGUAAAGCUCUAUCAGCAGGGAAGAAAAUGACGGUACCUGACUAAGAAGCACCGGCUAAAUACGUGCCAGCAGCCGCGGUAAUACGUAUGGUGCAAGCGUUAUCCGGAUUUACUGGGUGUAAAGGGAGCGUAGACGGCUGUGUAAGUCUGAAGUGAAAGCCCGGGGCUCAACCCCGGGACUGCUUUGGAAACUAUGCAGCUAGAGUGUCGGAGAGGUAAGUGGAAUUCCCAGUGUAGCGGUGAAAUGCGUAGAUAUUGGGAGGAACACCAGUGGCGAAGGCGACUUUCUGGUCUGUAACUGACGCUGAUGUGCGAAAGCGUGGGGAUCAAACAGGAUUAGAUACCCUGGUAGUCCACGCCGUAAACGAUGACUACUAGGUGUCGGGGAGCAAAGCUCUUCGGUGCCGCAGUAAACGCAAUAAGUAGUCCACCUGGGGAGUACGUUCGCAAGAAUGAAACUCAAAGGAAUUGACGGGGGCCCGCACAAGCGGUGGAGCAUGUGGUUUAAUUCGAAGCAACGCGAAGAACCUUACCAGGUCUUGACAUCCUUUGACCACUCUAGAGAUAGAGCUUUCCCUUCGGGGACAAAGUGACAGGUGGUGCAUGGUUGUCGUCAGCUCGUGUCGUGAGAUGUUGGGUUAAGUCCCGCAACGAGCGCAACCCUUAAGCUUAGUUGCCAUCAUUAAGUUGGGCACUCUAAGUUGACUGCCGGUGACAAACCGGAGGAAGGUGGGGAUGACGUCAAAUCAUCAUGCCCCUUAUGAGCAGGGCUACACACGUGCUACAAUGGCGUAAACAAAGGGAAGCGAGCCUGCGAGGGUAAGCAAAUCUCAAAAAUAACGUCUCAGUUCGGAUUGUAGUCUGCAACUCGACUACAUGAAGCUGGAAUCGCUAGUAAUCGCGAAUCAGCAUGUCGCGGUGAAUACGUUCCCGGGUCUUGUACACACCGCCCGUCACACCAUGGGAGUUGGUAACGCCCGAAGUCAGUGACCCAACCGUAAGGAGGGAGCUGCCGAAGGUGGGACCGAUAACUGGGGUG
rnacentral:rRNA from 1 species